rnacentral:rRNA from 1 species
AUUGAACGCUGGAGGUAUGCUUAACACAUGCAAGUCGAACGCGAACGUUUCUUCGGAAACAAGUAGAGUGGCGGACGGGUGAGUAACGCGUAGGAAUCUACCUAAGUGUGGGGGAUAACAUGAAGAAAUUCAUGCUAAUACCGCAUACGCCCCACGGGGUAAAGAGGGCCUCUUCUUGAAAGCUCUUGCAUUUAGAUGAGCCUGCGUCGGAUUAGCUUGUUGGCGGGGUAAUGGCCCACCAAGGCGACGAUCCGUAGCUGGUCUGAGAGGAUGAUCAGCCACACUGGGACUGAGACACGGCCCAG